AUGGCCUGGACCCCUCUCCUCCUCCUGUUCCUCUGUCACUGCACAGGUUCCCUCUCCCAGCCUGUGCUCACUCAGCCGCCCUCCCUCUCUGUGUCUCCUGGAGCAACAGCCAGACUCACCUGCACCCUGAGCAGUGGAUUCAGUGUUGGCUCCUAUACUAUAUACUGGCACCAGCAGAAGCCAGAGAGCCCUCCCAGGUUCUUCCUGUACUACUACUCAGACUCAGAUAAUCACCAGGGCCCCGGGGUCCCCAGCCGCUUCUCUGGAGCCAAAGAUGCCUCGACCAGUGCAGGCCUCCUGCUCAUCUCGGGGCCGCAGCCUGAGGACGAGGCCGACUACUACUGCAACAUAUGGGAUGGUAACUCUAAUUCUUCACAGCGCUCCAGACCCAGGGGGAAGUGA